rnacentral:rRNA from 1 species
UACGUAGGGUGCGAGCGUUAAUCGGAAUUACUGGGCGUAAAGCGUGCGCAGGCGGUUUUGUAAGCCAGAUGUGAAAUCCCCGGGCUUAACCUGGGAAUGGCAUUUGGGACUGCAAGGCUUGAGUGUGGCAGGGGGGACUGGAAUUCCUGGUGUAGCAGUGAAAUGCGUAGAGAUCAGGAGGAAUACCGAUGGCGAAGGCAGGUCCCUGGGCUGACACUGACGCUCAUGCACGAAAGCGUGGGGAGCAAACAGG